rnacentral:rRNA from 1 species
GAUCAUGGCUCAGGAUGAACGCUAGCUACAGGCUUAACACAUGCAAGGUCAGGGGAAACGACAUUGGAAGCUUGCGUUCCUUUGGGACGUCGACCGGCGCACGGGUGAGUAACGCGUAUCCAACCUUCCGCAAGUAAGGGAUAACCCGUAGAAAUGCGGCCUAAUACCUUAUGUUUUCCUUAGAUGGCAUCUGAUGAGGAACAAAGAUCCGUCGCUUGCGGAUGGGGAUGCGUCUGAUUAGUUAGUCGGCGGGUAACGGCCCACCGAGACGACGAUCAGUAGGGGUUCUGAGAGGAAAGUCCCCCACAUUGGAACUGAGACACGGUCCAAAACUCCUACGGGAGGCAGCAGUGAGGAAUAUUGGUCAAUGGGCGGAAGCCUGAACCAGCCAAGUAGCGUGCAGGACGACGGCCCUAUGGGUUGUAAACUGCUUUUAUGCGGGGAUAAAGUGGGCCACGCGUGGCCUUUUGCAGGUACCGCAUGAAUAAGGACCGGCUAAUUCCGUG